rnacentral:rRNA from 1 species
UACGGGAGGGGCAAGCGUUGUUCGGAAUUACUGGGCGUAAAGGGCUCGUAGGUGGCCAACUAAGUCAGACGUGAAAUCCCUCAGCUUAACUGGGGAACUGCGUCUGAUACUGGAUGGCUUGAGUUUGGGAGAGGGACGCGGAAUUCCAGGUGUAGCGGUGAAAUGCGUAGAUAUCUGGAGGAACACCGGUGGCGAAGGCGGCGUCCUGGACCAACACUGACACUGAUGAGCGAAAGCCAGGGGAGCAAACGGG